GUGAAGCGAAGCACAGGCUGAGAUGGGGGAGGGAGCCCCAGGCAUAAGGGGCCGAGGGGAACCUCCUUCCGCAGGAAGCCCCUCCCGGCCCCUCUCGGGUCUGGGGUCUUCCCUCCUCCCCCUCUAUAUAGCUUGCACACUUUUGUUUUCUUCCCCAUUCGACCGUUAAAUCCCUCAAGUCCGGAGAGCCUGGAAGUCUGACCACUGCCCCGUCCCCCCCGGGAUGCCCCGGAGGUUGGGGGGCUUCUUGGCCAGGGACCGUCAUUUGCCUCUUUUGCAGUCCCGGCUGUCUGCCCAGCGCCUGGCACGUAGUAGGCUCUUCGUAAGUGUUGCUGCCUGGCUACAAAUACAAGGCUUGGUAAUUGACUUAUCCUGGUUGAUCUGCCUGUCCAUUCCAGAAGCUGGACAGUCGGGACUAGAAGGGCCUUGGGGCUUAAUAAACCGGAACUGCCCCCUCUGCAAACGCCCCCCCGAUCCCAGUCUUGGGUCUGAAUACACUGGGCAACGUAGGAGAGAACACCAAGGGCAGGAUUGCAGACAGUCCGACCUGGGCAUCCAUUUAGCUAUCAACAGCCCUUUGAGAGGACGUUCAAGGGCUGACCAUAGUGGAAUGGAGGUGUAGGGCCAUCAUACCGGGAGAGCCCUGGAAACACCCUCGGUGUGACAUGCCCCCUUCAGCGGUCAGUCUGGUGAAGCCUAGAACCUCUUCCCCAAAUAAUGGUUUUAAAGAAUUGGAAAGAAAACCAAUUAUAACAAAAUACAAAUAUCAACAUAUUUUUGAAAAACCAAGGUCAAAGGAUGCUGUUAAGAAACCCAAGUCUGGGGCAUAUAUGGCUUUGAACCCUCUGAUUUGUCCUCACACUCUGGAAUAAGGCUGGGGUUCGAGGAAGUGGAACACAAGGAGUAACAAAGCCCUGCCUUCUCUCUACUCAGGCUUUUCACCGUCUGCUCCCCAGCCUGGAGUGCUCUUCCUCUUCCCUGGCCCUCCACCUGGGCCUCCUGGCUGCCUUCAGUCUCCGCUAAAAUCCCACCUUUCCUCGUCCCCCUUCAUGCUGGGCUCUGCCUCCUUGGGCUCCCAUCCUUCUCCAAAGGGACCGCACUGUGCCAAGGCAGGAAUGGCCCCUGUGCCCCUGACCUUCAGGGCUCUCCAGAAGAGGAAACAGAUGCCCCGAGCUGGAGGAGUGACAUCUUACAAAUAGGAUCCCAGCCCCAGCCCCUCGAUUUGCCAAAAGAGACUGAUGCUGGGACGUCCGAGUUGGAGGGGACCCAGGAAAUUGACUUGCUGAGGUCACUCAGGUACUGUGAAUGGUCAAGCUGAAGGAGAAGAGAUCCUGAGGAGCCCUCGGACCUGCCACUAGAAAUGAAAAAAGCGAGGUUCAGCAUAUGUGAAAAAUGACAGGGCUGGGAGGAUGCCAUGGUGAGAGAAUGUCUGGUUCCCGUCUCUUGCGACCACUGUGAUAGGAGCUGCAUGGCGAUGAGAAAGAAACUCUGGCUCUGACUUCUUGUCACUACGAGGAUAAGAAGAGGAUGCAGCCCCACUCUCUAUUUUGAGCAUCCAGACGUAGCUCUUGGAGGUCUGAAGGUCACAAACCACGUCUGGCAAUGAAGCCACGGCCUCCACUUUGACCAGGUGGCAGAUGUCGGUAUCUUCUUCCUUCUGUUAAUUGUUCCCAGACGUGUGUAACCUCAUCUCCCCUUCCUGCUUUCUGUCAAAGUCCACCUUCCAGUGCUGCUUCGGUGUUCUCAUUCAGCAGAAGGUGGCUGAAGUGUUACGCUCUGGGCUCUCCGACUUUUCAUACAGAUGAGCCUGCAUUAGGAGGGUAAAUAAAAUCCACCGAUCCUAUCUCUGCGCAUUGAUUUCGUGAUUGGCAGGAGUGUGCACACUUGUAUAAUUUGACUGCAGUGGGGAUUCUCAGUGACUAACAUAAUCAGGGAAGGUCUCUCAAAGGAAGGGCCACGUGCAGUGAACGUUGCCCUGGGGCUCCUAGGAGGUCGAGGUGAGGAGCAUUCCAAGAAGAGAAAACAAAGUUCUGUCAACACAAGCAGGUACCUUAACCUCUCUCACUUUCUUUUCCCUCUUAGUUAAGUAAUCAUCUAUUUGGAAAGACCUAUAGCUUUUGCCUUAAGUGGUUGUCGUGAAGACUGAGGACUAUAAUCUGGAACCACCACCUUGGAGCCCUGCAGCCCUGACUGAUGAAGGGGUCAUGUGGUCCACUGUAGCUGGGCCAGUGCCAACAUGCCCCUCUCUAGUCCUUGGCCAGCAGGCCACUAUCCUGCCCCUUCCCACUUUGCCUUUCUGGAUAGGGCUUUUUGCUGUUUGGGGCCAUUUUCCUUAAGGAAGCCUCCUCCCCUAAUGCAGAUGGGCAUCUUCUCAAAAACUUAGAGUUGGGGUGACUUGUCCUACAUCACACAGCCUUUGUAUGGGUCAGAGAUAGGACUUGAAUCUGCCUUCUCCUGGUCUCAAGGCCAGCUCCUGAGCUGCUGCCCAAAGCUGCCUCCCAGGUUCUGGGCCAUGACCAUGGCAAUGCAGCCCUUGCUCCUGGACCCUGGAUAGGGCAUGCCAGUCUCCUCCUGAUAACCCUCUUCAUCAUCCCAGCAACUUGCCCAACCAGAAUCCCUCUUCCUGAUCACACGCCCCUCCCUGAACGUGGCACAUCCUCCCAACAGAACUGUAAACACCAUCUUCAAUUGUCUAUUUGUACCAGGGCAGCUAGGUGGCUCAGUGGCUAGAGAGCU